AAAAAAAUCAUUAAACAUGCGCAUGCGUAUAAUGACGGACUUCGUUAAUUUCGACGGACUACAUUUGAAGACCACGACAUAUCGUCUCAACUUUAUCAGACAACACCUAGACUCUGAGAUGGACGAUGCCUGCAUGGACAGCAGCAUCUCUGAUGAAGAGGACUUAUUUGGAUCCAUGACGUCAAGAAAGGCAGAAGCAGGGGAGCUGGAGUUGGACUUUCAUAUCCAUCCACUAGAGGUUUCAAUCCCAGGAUGGUUCCAACUCCUAAACUGCAGGUGGCAACAGCAGCAGACCUCCACAGAUAAACAAUUGUUCAUACAAUUUAUUCUAUUUGAUUACUUCUUUGUUUUAUUAUUAUUAUUAUUAUUAUUAUUAUUAUUAUUAUUAUUAUUAUUAUUUUAUGUAUUCACUUUUAAUGUUUUUUUAUUGUGGUAGUGUUAAUUUGUCAUUUUGUUUUGAAUUCAAUUUAUCGCUCUGUUAUCUUGUCUUUGUAUUUGCAUCUUUGUUUCCAGGAGGACCCAGCUGUAAACGAGAUGAUUCAUCUCAAGUGGUUUU